CCGAGCGAGGGUCCCCCGGGGCCCAACCUCCCACCCGUGUUUACUGUACCUUGUUGCUUCGGCGGGCCCGCCGUUUGUUCGGCCGCCGGGGGGGCAUCGCCCCCCGGGCUCGCGCCCGCCGGAGACCCCAACAUGAACCCUAUCUGAAGCCUUGCAGUCUGAGUCGAUUGUAUCGCAAUCAGUUA
rnacentral:misc_RNA from 1 species